rnacentral:rRNA from 1 species
UUAGUAAUUGUGAAUGCAUAGGGACAGGCUCAAUGUGAAAAUCAGUGCAUAUGGCCCUGACUUGUUAUAUUGCGAUAUGCUACCAACAGAGGUGCAGGAAAUGCUGCCUUUGGAAACUUGCAUUGAUAAGGGUGAGAAUCCUGAAUGCAAACUGCAAACCUCAGUGCAUGGUGUGUCUUCUGAGAGUCACGUUCCUUGGGAUUGGUAUGCAAAGAAGGUGGUAGUUUUCGUCUAAAGCUAAAUAUAUGUUUGAGACCAAUAGUGAACAAGUACCGUGAGGGAAAUGUGAAACAAAAGCUCUGUGAAGAGAGAUAGAAGUUCCUGAACCUGUUGAAAGGGAAGUGAAGGAAGACAAUGUAACUUGGUGAGAUUGCUGCAUGCUGCUGUGCUUGCCUGCAUGUUUGUGCAAUGCGGCUGUGGGUCCUGAACAAUAUGUGUGUAGUGCUUUUUACCCUGUGAAUCAAUGUCAGUUAACUGUUUGCUUGCAACUAUUGGGUUUUUUGGUAGCCCAUCUCCAGGUGGGUGGAUAUCCCUUUGUGGGUGCUUACAGGUGCUGCUUGGUGACUACA